GAUAGCUCAGUUGGUUAGAGCACCUGACUGUUAAUCAGGGGGUCCUAGGUUCAAGUCCUAG
rnacentral:tRNA from 1 species